UAGGGAAUYYUYCGCAAUGGACGAAAGUCUGACCGRAGCWACGCCGCGUGAGKGAUGAARGUUUUCGGAUCGUAAAGCUCUGUUGUUAGGGAAGAACAAGUACCGUUCGAAUAGGGCGGUACCUUGACGGUACCUAACCCAGAAAGCCACGGCUAACUACGUGCCAGCAGCCGCGGUAAUACGUAGGUGGCAAGCGUUGUCCGGAAUUAUUGGGCGUAAAGGGCUCGCAGGCGGUUUCUUAAGUCUGAUGUGAAAGCCCCCGGCUCAACCGGGGAGGGUCAUUGGAAACUGGGGAACUUGAGUGCAGAAGAGGAGAGUGGAAUUCCACGUGUAGCGGUGAAAUGCGUAGAGAUGUGGAGGAACACCAGUGGCGAAGGCGACUCUCUGGUCUGUAACUGACGCUGAGGAGCGAAAGCGUGGGGAGCGAACAGGAUUAGAUACCCUGGUAGUCCACGCCGUAAACGAUGAGUGCUAAGUGUUAGGGGGUUUCCGCCCCUUAGUGCUGCAGCUAACGCAUUAAGCACUCCGCCUGGGGAGUACGGUCGCAAGACUGAAACUCAAAGGAAUUGACGGGGGCCCGCACAAGCGGUGGAGCAUGUGGUUUAAUUCGAAGCAACGCGAAGAACCUUACCAGGUCUUGACAUCCUCUGACAAUCCUAGAGAUAGGACGUCCCCUUCGGGGGCAGAGUGACAGGUGGUGCAUGGUUGUCGUCAGCUCGUGUCGUGAGAUGUUGGGUUAAGUCCCGCAACGAGCGCAACCSWUGAUCUUAGYUGCCAGCAUUCAGUUGGKCACUCUAWGGUGACUGGCYGRUGAMMAACCGGAAGGAAGG
rnacentral:rRNA from 1 species